rnacentral:tRNA from 1 species
GACGAGGUGGCAGAGUGGUUAAGGCGAUGUACUGCUAAUACAUUGAUCUGCACGUGUGCUGGAUCGAAUUCCAUCCUCAUUG